GACGAACGCUGGCGGCGUGCUUAACACAUGCAAGUCGAACGAAGUGGCGAACGGGUGAGUAACGCGUAAUCAACCUGCCCUUCAGAGGGGGCCAACAGUUGGAAACGACUGCUAAUACCGCAUACUGAAGGAGGGGAUUGCGGCUGAUUAGGUAGUUGGAGUGUUAACGGCCCACCAAGGCGAUGAUCAGUAGCCGGUCUGAGAGGAUGAACGGCCACAUUGGGACUGAGAAACGGCCCAGACUCCUACGGGAGGCAGCAGUGGGGAAUCUUCCGAAAUGGACGAAAGUCUGACGGAGCAACGCCGCGUGAGUGAUGACGGCCUUCGGGUUGUAAAGCUCUGUUAAUCGGGACGCGGUACCGGAAUAGAAAGCCACGGCUAACUACGUGCCAGCCGCCGCGGUAAUUC
rnacentral:rRNA from 1 species